rnacentral:lncRNA from 1 species
GCGCAACAUAAAAGAUCACAGAAUAAGGUUCAGGUAAAACUAGAAAGACGUAGUGAAACUGUUUCUGAGCAUCUUAAAAGCCAGAUUGCAGAGGAUUCACAAGUACUCUGCAACGAAGUUGUCUUAGAACAAAACUUAUUGAAUAAACAUACAAGCACCGAAAGUAAAAGUGAUUAAGAAUAACAUCUGAUAGGGAAACUUUCAAUGUUUCAACACAAACUUUGCAACAAUCCAAAACCAAUAGAUAUGGUUGUCUUGCAACAAGAAACACACACAUGGUCUAAAUUAGGAAAAAGAAAAAACAUCUUUUGUUCUUAUAACACUGACAUCUGUUGCCAAACUGGUAAUAAUAUUAUCCUCUGCGUAAAGAGAACGAUACUUAAGUUUACUUGCCAGCACCAACUUCCUUGACAGCAUUGAUCUGCUCCUCUCCCAUGGAAGACAUGACAGACACCACAACAUCCCUACCCUCCUCAAAUCCACUCUUCAU